rnacentral:rRNA from 1 species
CGGUAGAGGUAAGUGGAAUUCCAUGUGUAGCGGUGGAAUGCGUAGAUAUAUGGAGGAACACCAAUGGCGAAGGCAACUUACUGGGCCGGAAUUGACGCUGAGGCACGAAAGCGUGGGGAGCAAACAGGAUUAGAUACCCUGGUAGUCCACGCCGUAAACGAUGAGAACUAAGUGUUGGAGUAAAAUUCAGUGCUGAAGUUAACGCAUUAAGUUCUCCGCCUGGGUAGUACGAUCGCAAGAUUGAAACUCAAAGGAAUUGACGGGAACCCGCACAAGCGGUGGAGUAUGUUGUUUAAUUCGAAGAUACACGAAGAACCUUACCAGGUCUUGACAUACCAUUGACAGGUGUAGAGAUACAUUUUUCCUUCGGGACAAUGGAUACAGGUGGUGCAUGGUUGUCGUCAGCUCGUGCCGUGAGGUGUUGGGUUAAGUCCCGCAACGAGCGCAACCCUUAUUGUUAGUUGCUAAUAUUAAGUUAAGGACUCUAAUGAGACUGCCAGCGAUAAGCUGGAGGAAGGUGGGGAUGACGUCAAAUCAUCAUGCCCCUUAUGACCUGGGCUACAAACGUACUACAAUGGAUGAUACAAAGAGAAGCGAGAUCGCGAGAUGGAGCAAACCUCAUAAAAUCAUUCUCAGUUCAGAUUGAAGUCUGCAACUCGACUUCAUGAAGUCGGAAUCGCUAGUAAUCGUGAGUCAGCAGAUCACGGUGAAUACGUUCCCGGGUUUUGUACACACCGCCCGUCAAACCACGAGAGUUUGUAACACCCG